AGUGAACGCUGGCGGUAGGCCUAACACAUGCAAGUCGAACGGCAGCACAGUAAGAGCUUGCUCUUACGGGUGGCGAGUGGCGGACGGGUGAGGAAUACAUCGGAAUCUACUUUUUCGUGGGGGAUAACGUAGGGACACUUACGCUAAUACCGCAUACGACCUACGGGUGAAAGCAGGGGAUCUUCGGACCUUGCGCGAUUGAAUGAGCCGAUGUCGGAUUAGCUAGUUGGCGGGGUAAAGGCCCACCAAGGCGACGAUCCGUAGCUGGUCUGAGAGGAUGAUCAGCCACACUGGAACUGAGACACGGUCCAGACUCCUACGGGAGGCAGCAGUGGGGAAUAUUGGACAAUGGGCGCAAGCCUGAUCCAGCCAUACUGCGUGGGUGAAGAAGGCCUUCGGGUUGUAAAGCCCUUUUGUUGGGAAAGAAAAGCAGCAGGUUAAUACCCCGCUGUUCUGACGUUACCCAAAGAAUAAGCACCGGCUAACUUCGUG
rnacentral:rRNA from 1 species